ACUCUGCUAACUCGUAAGAGGAUGUAUAGGGUGUGACGCCUGCCCGGUGCUCGAAGGUUAAUUGAUGGGGUUAGCAUUAGCGAAGCUCUUGAUCGAAGCCCGAGUAAACGGCGGCCGUAACUAUAACGGUCCUAAGGUAGCGAAAUUCCUUGUCGGUUAAAUACCGACCUGCAUGAAUGGCGUAACGAGAUGGGAGCUGUCUCAAAGAGGGAUCCAGUGAAAUUGUAGUGGAGGUGAAAAUUCCUCCUACCCGCGGCAAGACGGAAAGACCCCGUGGACCUUUACUACAGCUUGACACUGCUACUUGGAUAAGAAUGUGCAGGAUAGGUGGGAGGCUUUGAGUAUAUGACGCCAGUUGUAUAUGAGCCAUUGUUGAGAUACCACUCUUUCUUAUUUGGGUAGCUAACCAGCUUGAGUUAUCCUCAAGUGGGACAAUGUCUGGUGGGUAGUUUGACUGGGGCGGUCGCCUCCCAAAUAAUAACGGAGGCUUACAAAGGUUGGCUCAGAACGGUUGGAAAUCGUUCGUAGAGUAUAAAGGUAUAAGCCAGCUUAACUGCAAGACAUACAAGUCAAGCAGAGACGAAAGUCGGUCUUAGUGAUCCGGUGGUUCUGUGUGGAAGGGCCAUCGCUCAAAGGAUAAAAGGUACCCCGGGGAUAACAGGCUGAUCUCCCCCAAGAGCUCACAUCGACGGGGAGGUUUGGCACCUCGAUGUCGGCUCAUCGCAUCCUGGGGCUGGAGCAGGUCCCAAGGGUAUGGCUGUUCGCCAUUUAAAGCGGUACGCGAGCUGGGUUCAGAACGUCGUGAGACAGUUCGGUCCCUAUCUGCCGUGGGCGUAAGAAGAUUGAAGAGAUUUGACCCUAGUACGAGAGGACCGGGUUGAACAAACCACUGGUGUAGCUGUUGUUCUGCCAAGAGCAUCGCAGCGUAGCUAAGUUUGGAAAGGAUAAACGCUGAAAGCAUCUAAGCGUGAAGCCAACUCUAAGAUGAAUCUUCUCUAAGCUCUCUAGAAGACUACUAGUUUGAUAGGCUGGGUGUGUAAUGGAUGAAAGUCCUUUAGCUGACCAGUACUAAUAGAGCGUUUGGCUUAUCUUUAAUAAAGCAU
rnacentral:rRNA from 1 species